AUGGCCUCUGGCCACGACGGAGGCACGCUGGAGGCGCUAUGGGCGCCCAUCGACAACAUGGCAGGCUGCGGAGGACGGCCCGACGCGGCCAGGUUGUGGCCGAGCAGGGGCGGGCGCGGCGCAGCAGGCGACGACGGGGUGGUCGGCCGGGCAGAGGCGGGGCGCUUGGCUGUAGCAGCGACAAUGGACGUGGCAGCAGAUUACAGCAGCUAG
rnacentral:rRNA from 1 species